rnacentral:lncRNA from 1 species
CCCAUGGUUCUCCCACCCCCCUAAACCCUAUUAAAAGCCAUGAAAUCUCUAGAAUUCAAGAAGAGAAAUCUUUGAUCAGUAACAGGAAAAAAAACAAAAAAAUAAGAAAAAAAAGAAUUCAUUCCAAGCAAUCAAUAGGCCAAGAGAGGAGGCAGAGUUGUUCCAAGCAUAGAGCUUCACAAUAAAAAAUCCAUGGAGCUCCACCUCCCCAGGAGGUUGCAAUCAUUGAGCAAGUGCGGGUACAACUGAGCAACAAGGUUUAUGCGGACAAUAUAGCAAAAGAAUAGCUGGCACAUGUCCAAGAAGAUCAAGAAAAUGAAUGUCAUACCCAU